ensembl:snRNA U6 U6 spliceosomal RNA
GUGCUUGCUUUGGCAGCACAUAUACAAAAAAAUUGUAAUACAAAGAUUAGCAUGACCUCUGUACAUGGAUAACACACAAAUUCAUGAAGAGAGAAUUUGUUUU